rnacentral:tRNA from 1 species
GCGCUUGUAGCUCAGUGGAUAGAGCAUCUGGUUGCGGUCCAGGGGGUCGCAGGUUCGAUUCCUGCCAAGCGCACAA